rnacentral:rRNA from 1 species
CCUACGGGAGGCAGCAGUGAGGAAUAUUGGUCAAUGGACGAGAGUCUGAACUAGCCAAGUAGCGUGAAGGAUGACUGCCCUAUGGGUUGUAAACUUCUUUUAUAUGGGAAUAAAAUGUUCCACGUGUGGGUUUUUGUAUGUACCAUAUGAAUAAGGAUCGGCUAACUCCGUGCCAGCAGCCGCGGUAAUACGGAGGAUCCGAGCGUUAUCCGGAUUUAUUGGGUUUAAAGGGAGCGUAGGUGGAUUGUUAAGUCAGUUGUGAAAGUUUGCGGCUCAACCGUAAAAUUGCAGUUGAAACUGGCAGUCUUGAGUACAGUAGAGGUGGGCGGAAUUCGUGGUGUAGCGGUGAAAUGCUUAGAUAUCACGAAGAACUCCGAUUGCGAAGGCAGCUCACUGGACUGCAACUGACACUGAGGCUCGAAAGUGUGGGUAUCAAACAGGAUUAGAUACCCCAGUAGUC